UACGUAGGGUGCGAGCGUUAAUCGGAAUUACUGGGCGUAAAGCGUGCGCAGGCGGCUUUGCAAGACAGAUGUGAAAUCCCCGGGCUCAACCUGGGAAUUGCGAUGGAGACUGCAAGGCUUGAAUCUGGCAGAGGGGGGUAGAAUUCCACGUGUAGCAGUGAAAUGCGUAGAGAUGUGGAGGAACACCAAUGGCGAAGGCAAUCCCCUGGGCCUGUACUGACGCUCAUGCACGAAAGCGUGGGGAGCAAACAGG
rnacentral:rRNA from 1 species